CAGCAGCCGCGGUAAUACGUAAGGGGCGAGCGUUGUUCGGGAUCAUUGGGCGUAAAGGGUGAGUAGGCGGAUAUGCAAGUCUAUGUGUAAAAUACCACAGCUCAACUGUGGAACUAUGCUGGAAACUGCAUGACUAGAGUCUGAUAGGGGAAGUUAGAAUUCCUGGUGUAAGGGUGGAAUCUGUUGAUAUCAGGAAGAAUACCAGAGGCGAAGGCGAACUUCUAGGUCAAGACUGACGCUGAGUCACGAAAGCGUAGGGAGCAAAC
rnacentral:rRNA from 1 species